AUGCUGACCGCACAUGGUAUGGCUGUGAAGAACAGAGCAGUAUAUUCAAUGCCGGUAGUUAUCUUGGAGAUGAUGCUUCCUUUCAGAAUAAGAAGGCAAAAUUGCUCCAAGAAGUUGACUCGCCAAGAUGGAAGCCUGAUGACUCUUGCUCAGAGCAAAAGGUUAUCUCAGGUAACCGCUGAGAAUGCUCGGUGGGAGGACAGGCAGUUGUUCAGAUCAGGAGCUGUUAGGAGAACAGAGGUGCAGACGGAGUUCGACGAUGAGGACGAGCGUAAGGUGAUACUACUUGUUCAUGACACAAAACCCCCAUUCCUUGAUGGACGAGUUGUGUUCACAACGCAAGCAGAGCCUGUGAUGCCACUCAAGGACCCGACAUCUGACAUGGUUAUCAUUGCGCGCAAAGGUUCUCUUUUGGUUAGGGAAAUUCGUGAAAAGCAGAGUAUGAACAAGUCAAGGCAACGCUUCUGGGAGCUUGCUGGAUCUAUGCUAGGACAUAUUUUGGGUGUUGGGAAAACAACCCAACAGGCUGAUGCUGAUACUGUGCUUGUUGGUGACCAAGGUGAUGUUGACUUCAAAGAGAAGCUGAAAUUUUCACAACACUUGAAGGAAAAGGCAGAAGCAGUCAGCGAUUUUGCAAAAUCAAAAUCUCUUUCUGAACAGAGGCAAUACCUUCCCAUAUACACUGUCAGGGAUGACCUGCUCGGAGUUGUGCGGGAAAAUCAAGUGGUUGUGGUUGUUGGUGAAACUGGUUCUGGGAAGACUACCCAGCUGACUCAAUAUCUGCAUGAGGAUGGAUAUACCAGAACUGGCCUUGUUGGCUGCACUCAACCAAGACGUGUAGCUGCCAUGAGUGUUGCUCGGCGUGUCAGUGACGAAAUGGAAACCGUGCUUGGAGAAGAAGUUGGAUAUGCUAUUCGGUUCGAGGAUGUCACGUGCCAUAAGACAAAAAUAAAGUACAUGACAGAUGGAGUGCUUCUCCGUGAAACCUUGAAGGAUGCUGACCUGGACAAAUAUCGGGUUAUCAUCAUGGAUGAAGCACACGAGAGAUCAGUGGACACUGAUGUAUUAUUUGGUAUAUUGAAGAAGGUUGCUGCACGGCGACGGGAUUUUAAGCUAAUUGUCACAUCUGCAACACUAAAUGCAGACAAAUUCUCAAAAUUCUUUGGUGGUGCGCCUGUAUUUCACAUACCUGGAAGGACAUUUCCAGUUAAUAUCUUGUACAGCAAAACACCAUGUGAAGAUUAUGUGGAAGCGGCAGUGAAGCAGGCCAUCACAAUCCACAUAACGAGUGGCCCUGGCGACAUUCUCAUAUUCAUGACUGGGCAGGAAGAAAUCGAGACUGCUUGCUAUGCGCUUGCUGAGCGCAUGGAGCAGCUAAUAUCAUCAUCCACCAAGGCUGCAGGGAAGCUCUCAAUCUUGCCCGUCUAUUCGCAGUUGCCUGCUGACUUGCAGGCCAAGAUCUUUCAGAAGGCAGGGGAGGGCACUCGCAAAUGCAUUGUUGCUACCAACAUCGCUGAGACAUCCCUGACAGUAGAUGGUAUCUUGUAUGUCAUCGAUACUGGGUAUGGAAAGAUGAAGGUAUACAAUCCACGGAUGGGCAUGGACGCUCUUCAGGUUUUUCCAUGUAGUCGAGCAGCCGCAGACCAGCGCGCAGGGCGUGCAGGAAGAACUGGCCCCGGCACAUGCUACAGGCUGUUCACGGAAUCCGCUUACCAGGAUGAAAUGCUCCCUAACCCCGUGCCAGAGAUCCAAAGGACCAACCUUGCGAACGUGGUUCUCUUACUGAAAUCCCUCGAAGUCGAAAAUUUGCUUCAUUUUGACUUCAUGGACCCACCUCCCCAGGAGAAUAUCCUCAACUCCAUGUACCAGCUCUGGCUGUUGGGUGCCUUGAACAAUGCUGGCGGCCUUGCAAAUCUAGGCUGGAAGAUGGUGGAGUUCCCACUGGACCCAACCCUGGCAAAGAUGCUUCUCAUGGGUAAGGAGUUGGGGUGCGUUGAUGAAGUACUAACAAUUGUAUCGAUGCUCUCAGUGCCAUCAGUAUUCUUCCGGCCAAAAGAUCGAGAAGAGGAGAGUGACACUGCAAGGGAGAAGUUUUUUGUACCGGAGUCUGACCAUCUAACACUCCUCAAUGUAUACCUGCUCUGGGAGUCGAACGAAUAUAGUGUAGACUGGUGCAAUGCUCACUUCCUCCAUGUCAAGGGUCUACAAAAGGCUCGGGAAGUGAGAUCUCAAUUGGUGGACAUACUGAACACCCUGAAGAUCCCGCAGAUAUCGCGCCAUAGGGAAUGGGACUUGGUGAGGAAGGCCAUCUGCUCAGCGUACUUCCAGAACUCUGCAAGGUUGAAGGGUGUUGGAGAGUACGUCAACUGCCGUAAUGGGGUGCCUUGCCACCUGCAUCCCAGCAGCGCCCUCUACGGUCUCGGCUACACCCCUGACUACAUCGUCUACCACGAGCUUGUCCUGACAACCAAGGACUAUAUGCAGUGUGUCAGUGCAGUUGACCCGCAGUGGCUGGUAGAGCUGGGGCCCAUGUUCUUCUCUGUGAAGGAGGGUGACACCUCCUUCCUUGACCGCAGGAGGUGGCAUAAUGAGGAGAAGACGGCCAUGGAAGAGGAGAUGGAGAAGCUGAGGCAGGAGCAAGAUGAGGCGGCAUGCAGAGUGAAGGGGAGGGAGGAGAAGAGGGGCAAGCCGCAGCAGCAGGUUGCUAUGCCAGGCCUGAAGAAAGGUUUGGCGUAUCUUAGGCCCAGAAGGAGAAUGGGUUUGUAG
rnacentral:rRNA from 1 species